rnacentral:rRNA from 1 species
UAGGGGAAAUCUUCCACAAUGGGCGAAAGCCCGAUGGAGCAACGCCGCGUGUGUGAUGAAGGGUUUCGGCUCGUAAAACACUGUUGUAAGAGAAGAAUGACAUUGAGAGUAACUGUUCAAUGUGUGACGGUAUCUUACCAGAAAGGAACGGCUAAAUACGUGCCAG